GCAAGCAUUUUUUUCUUCAAUUUGUAAAUUAUGAAGACAAUAUUGAUCAUUUCAGCACAGUUUGGAUUUCAUGGAUAUAGCCAUAUGUGAUAAGUUGUACUGUUUUUUUAACAAGCUGUUUUGAAUUUCCCAAUUUUAGGUCACCAAAGAAUGAAUAUCCCUUCAAAGCGAAAUCAAAAAUAUUUUGAUAAUGUAAAAAAUGCGACGUCAUAAAUAUAGUGAAUAUUGUUCCAUUUUGAGCAAACUUGGGAUCUCUUGAGUAUGAUCGUAAACAUUAUGUAAUCAACAUUGCCUUCAUUGAUUAUUGUUUGUUUUCCUUUUCUUUGGUCUAUUCUACGGAUGGAUGCAGGGGGGGACGUGCAUGAUAUGCGGACAGCUGAAUUUCAAGAGAGGGUGCGUCACAGGAUAUCAUCUUAUUUCAUCAUAGAGUCCGGAGAAUCUUCGAUUUGGAUGCAUAUGAACACAAUAUUGGUAUAAGGGCGUGGCGACAGAAGCGUAAGAGGAGUGUGACAUCCACAUUCCAAAUUUCAUCAGCAAACAUCAAUUUAGCCAGCCUUCAGCAAUAAUAUUAUUUUAAACGGUCCAAAAAUUAAUGUUCUACAAGCUUAGUCAGCAAAUUUGGUCCACCUAACGUGGCAGAAGUGGGUAUUUUUGUUGUUGUUGUUAACUUCUCUAUGAUGAAAUUGCCUGUAUUUCAGCCUUGUUGAAAACAAUGUCAAAAUGCUAUUUUCUGUAGGAUUUGAAUGAUGAAAUCAGAAUCUUUUGAUUGGGGCGAGUGAAAUACUUGCUCCAUUUGGACUUUCAACCCUUUCCAACUGGUAACAUAGAACCCUAAAUUGAGCUACACUUUGCUUAGUAUAGUAGUUGAACAGCACCAUAUAAUAAUGUACUGAAUAUGUCCCUGAAGGCAUACCGAUUAAGGUGUUUAAUUUACUCAGUUUCACUGGAUAUAGGAAACUCUUAUAAAAAUUGAAAUUUGUCAAUAAUGAACAUAAUGCUGCAUUUUGUAAGUACCUAAACAUUUUCUAUAUUUAAUCAUUUAUUUAUUUAAUUGAUGUGGAUUUUUAAAAACUGUGUGGUUGCUGAUGUAAUAUGAAACGCAAGUUUGGUUUAUUUAUUCAAUAUUAUAAUUACAAUAACUUUAAAACAAUCAUCUCACAAGCAAUUUUAUUACCUUGUUGUAUUCAUACAGAAAUUGUCUUCAAGUUAUUAAAGCCUAUCGCACUAAUAGCACAUUUCAUAAGUGAUUCUAAAGAGCUAUUGAACCUUGUCACUGGCCGACUCUCAGGAAAUUUUCAUGAUGUUAUGAUAUCAAAAUUCAAAUGACUAGCAAACUGACGAUGUAUUAUGGGGCCUAUUGGGUAUGUGCAGUCAAAUCCAUCUCUAAUAAUCAAACCCAGUUUGAAUUUCAGUCAACCAGAAUUACAUGACUUGCAUUGAUUUAGUUUUAUUUUAUUUUUGCACUGUGAUGUCGUGAUCGAUCAAAAGUUGUGUGGAAGAGGCCACCCCCCCCUCCUCAAAUUGGUAUUGGUAUAAUCAUUUUGAAUGACAAGAGUUAUGAAAACAAACCAACAACCAUAAAAGAUAAAUAUUCUUGAUACAUGGAUUACUAAUAAAA